rnacentral:rRNA from 1 species
UUGGAGGGCAAGUCUGGUGCCAGCAGCCGCGGUAAUUCCAGCUCCAAUAGCGUAUAUUAAAGUUGUUGCAGUUAAAAAGCUCGUAGUUGAAUUUCGGGAUCAAUAUUUCGGUCAUGCCGUUGGUAUGCACUGUUAUCAUUGAUUUCUCACCUUCUAAAGAACCGUAAUGCCAUUAAUUUGGUGUUACGGGGAAUUAGGACUGUUACCUUGAAAAAAUUAGAGUGUUUAAAGCAGGCUCACGCUUGAAUACAUUAGCAUGGAAUAAUGAAAUAGGACAUCCGAUUCUAUUUUGUUGGUUUCUAGGAUCGAUGUAAUGAUUAAUAGGGAUAGUUGGGGGUAUUAGUAUUCAAUUGUCAGAGGUGAAAUUCUUGGAUUUAUUGAAGACUAACUACUGCGAAAGCAUUUGCCAAGGAUGUUUUCAUUAAUCAAGAACGAAAGUUAGGGGAUCGAAGACGAUCAGAUACCGUCGUAGUCUUAACCAUAAACUAUGCCGACUAGGGAUCGGAUGAUGUUAAUUUUUUAAUGACUCAUUCGGCGCCUUACGGGAAACCAAAGUGUUUGGGUUC